AAGUAGUCGUUUACUAACAUUUCAAUUGGAAACAAAUCCAAAAUAAAGUAUUGUUGUGUGAAAAGUUAAAAUGUGUUUAUUAUGUGUAUCGUGCAUUUAUGCUGAUAUUGCAAUGUGGAUCCAUUACUUACACCACCAGUGCCACGGAAACCAUUGUUCGAUGGAAGUGAUCCAGAUUCCAGCCAUUUCAACACAUCCUUAAAUACAAUAAGUGCUUUCGCACAACUUCCUUUGGAGCUAAUUUCAUUCAUUUCAAGUUGGCGAUCCAAAAUAAAUCGCGAGACAUUUUCGUUCAGCGAGAAAGCAAUAUCAUGCAUUUCAAUAUUCAAUCUUUUAUUUUCAAGAACAUGUUAAAUAUGUUCGAUCCAAUUACAGGCGUAUCAACGAAUAAAAAUCUAAGCGCAAUGAAUUACUCUGCGUAUCGUAUGAUGAUUCGUACACAUGAGAAUGUCAUUCUGAAGUACCGUUGGCUGUUCCAGCAAUUCACUAUCGACAGCAAACGUUUCGCGUUCAUCCGAUUCAGUCACCUGCGUGAUGCAAUUCAUUCAGAUAGUGAUAUUCAGAAUAUUGAACGUCUGACGAUUCUCCAAUAAUCUUAUAUCGUAAGCCAACGCCACAUGCACCAAUACGCUCAAGACGCAAUGACGUAUGUGCGAAAUUAUGGAACUCCGGAUUUAUUUAUUGCGUUCACAUGCAAUACGAAGUGGAUGGAAAUUGAACGUGAGUUGGAAUCGGGUCAAAAACUGCAUGAUUGCCAUGACAUAGCUCCAGAGUAUUUCAGACAAAAACAGUUAUGAUGGAAGUGAUUACUAAGUAUCAAGUUUUUGGUGACACACGUUGUUAUAUGUACUCGGUGGAAUGGUAGAAGCGUGGACUACCGCAUACUCAUAUCCUAAUUUGGUUGCUGAACAAAUUACAUUCAAAUGUAGUGGAUAACAUCAUAAAAGCAAACAGAUGGUGCAUGGACCGUGAGGUCAAGAUAUUGAGAUUGGAAAUGAAUUCAUUGUACCAAAUUGCCCUCUGCUAUCACGAAUUUUCGAAAAACAUGCAAUCGUUAAGAGUUGACAUUCGGGCAAAUCAAUCAAAUAUUUGUGCAAGUACGUCACAAAAGGCAGCGACCUGGAUGUGUUAUUGGUAUUGCGUUGCAAAAUGCGAAUGCCAAAAUCAGCAAAUUCUAAAUGGACAAAUACGUCAGUACUAAUGAAGCACUGUUGCGAUUAUUGUCAUUGUGGCGACUCUUCUAGAUGACGGUCGUACUUCACAUUCUGCGUUUCAGUUACCACUCAAGUUAAAUUACCUUCCAAACAUAAGAAAGUACUGAUCUUCCAACGAAGGAUUUUCGGCAAAAUAACAACAUCUUUCGAGGCUUGAUGAUAUUGUUGGGAGGCGAUUUCAGGCAGACGGCAGUAAUUCCCUGUGGAACGCCUGCAGAUGAAUGGAAUGCUUGCUUGAAGGCAUCACCUUUAUGGAAUAACGUAAAAACAUUAUCGCUAAACACUAAUAUGAGAGUUCAACUUCAAAAUGAUUAAUGUGCUGCACAAUUUUUCAAACAAUUCUUAGCUGUUGGAAAUGGAAAAGUCCCAGUUUAUGCGACAUCUGGAUUAAUUACUCUUACCAACGACUUUAGCCGAUUUGUAGCCUCUCAAUUAGCUCUUAUUGAAAAUGUUUUCCCAAACAUUAGUGAGAAUUAUCAGAAUUAAGCUUGGUUAGGUCAACGAGCAAUUCUUGCCGCAAAGAAUAAUGAUGGAGACGGACUGAAUUUCACAAUUCAAUUAAAAAUUGCUGGCGAUUUGGUGACAUACAAAUUCGUUGAUGCCAUAACAUAUCCCGAUUAUGUAGUAAAUUAUCCGACGGAGUUUUUGAACUCUUUGGAGUUACCAGGAUUUCCACCACAUAACUUGCAACUUGCAAAGUUGGCACAGUUAUUAUGAUAUUUCGUAAUUUGAAUCCACCACGACUUUGCAACGGUAUUCGACUGUCGGUAAAAAGACUUAUGCCGAAUUUGAAGCAACCAGAAUUAACGGAAAGGAGGCGGGUGAACAUGUAUGUAUUCCUCGAAUACCAAUGAUUCCGACUGAUCUUCCGUUUGACUUUAAACGAUUGCAAUUUUCAGUUCUCCUUGUAAAGGCGUAAGGCCAAUCGCUUAGUGUUUGCGGAAUAAAUUUAGAAAAUCAUUGUUUUUCACAUGGGCAGUUAUACGUUGCGUGUUCACGAGUUUGGAAACCAUCCUCUUUGUUUGUGUUAACGACAGACCAAAAAAUAAAAAUGUAGUUUACCAACGAGCACUGAACUGAAAUGGAUAAUUUGCGGACAACUA